GGCAGAGUCAGACUCACCUGUCAACCUACUAUGAAGAGGAGGGCAGAGUCAGACUUACAUGUGAACUUACUAAGCACAGGGGUGUUCUCAUCAUCUGAACUGUCUUCUGUGGGCAAAUAGAGAUGAGCACAAACAAACAGCAUGGCAUUGGCAGGAUGCAGUCAUUGGCAGGAUGCAGUCACUGGCAGGAUGCAGGCACUGGCAGGAUGCAGGCACUGGCAGGAUGCAGUCAUUGGCAGGAUGCAGGCACUGGCAGGAUGCAGUCAUUGGCAGGAUGCAGGCACUGGCAGGAUGCAGGGACUGGCAGGAUGCAGGCACUGGCAGGAUGCAGGGACUGGCAGGAUGAAGGCACUGGCAGGAUGCAGGCACUUGGCAGGAUGCAGGCACUGGCAGGAUGAAGGCACUGGCAGGAUGCAGGCACUGGCAGGAUGCAGGCACUGACAGGAUGCAGGCACUGACAGGAUGAAGGCACUGACAACAGACAGCUCUAUAGGAGCUAGCUACACAGAGACACUAAGCUUAAGCUACAGACACAGAGAUUGUUUGAAAAGAAAGAAAGAAAGAAAUGUUAGGCAGUUAAAGUUUGAAAAGGGUUGCUUUGAUUGUCAGAGUGACAGAGGAGAGAGAGAACCCAAGUGCAGAACAGUAGCAGAGAAAGCAUGUCAUGUCACACUAAGCUUAGAAACAAUGCUGCCUGUGUGUAUAUAAUGCACAUCUUCACAUCUACAGUUAAUCAUUAGCAAUAGUUAUUAGAACCAUGCCAUAAAAGGCAUGCUGUUUCUGAAGUGGAGAGAGAAGAGUUGCGAUGAGACAUUGGGAAAUAGCUAGAAAUGUUCCAGGUUGGGUUAGAAUUGAGUAUUUGGGUUUGUGCCCAAUUCUGCCUGUUAGCAUCAUAAUAAUGUCUCUCUAUUAUGCUGAUGUAUUACUACGUUCAUUAAGUCAUUUAGUAAAGUAUGUUUGACCACAUUCCAAAGUUACAGAGGAAAAAAGUACCUCAGGGGAAAAGGGUACCUCCACUUUUUUUUAUUUCUCAAAAAUAAUAGGAAAUGGGGCAUCAUUCGAGGUGAAUAAAAUGAGCAUCACAUACUUAUAAAGGGCAAUGAUUAUGUUUAACUCCAUGAAUCAAAUAAGCAAACAAAAUCACGGGUCAAGCAAACAGUGACUUGUUUCAGAGCACAGAGAUAAUAGAACUCUGGCUAUAGCAGGUACCUUGCUCUGUGCAGCAAUGCCACUGGUGGAAGAUCCUUCCAAUGAGGAUGACGUUUCUAGAGGUGGCAGGUGGGUGUUGGAUCAGAGGCAUGGGAACAAAGAUGUCUCCUUGGG
ensembl:lncRNA